rnacentral:rRNA from 1 species
AGCAUAUCAAUAAGCGGAGGAAAAGAAACUAACGAGGAUUCCCCUAGUAACUGCGAGUGAAGCGGGAAAAGCUCAAAUUUAAAAUCUGGUGGCCCUCUGGCCAUCCGAGUUGUAAGCUAGAGAAGCGCCGUCCGCGCUGGGGCCAUGUACAGGUCUCCUGGAACGGAGCGUCAUAGAGGGUGAGAAUCCCGUCUCUGACAUGGACCUCCCGGGGCACCGCGAUCGCGCUCUCAAAGAGUCGAGUUGUUUGGGAAUGCAGCUCCAAAUGGGUGGUAAACUCCAUCUAAAGCUAAACAUUGGCGAGAGACCGAUAGCGAACAAGUACCGUGAGGGAAAGAUGAAAAGAACUUUGGAAAGAGAGUUAAACAGUACGUGAAAUUGUUGAAAGGGAAACGCUUGAAGUCAGUCGCGUCGGCUUGGGGGUCAGCCUCGCAGCUGCGAGGUGCACUCCCCGGUCCACGGGUCAGCACCAGUUUCGACCGUUGGAGAAAGGUCGGGGGAAUGUGGCAUCCUCGGAUGUGUUUAUAGCCCUCGAUCGCAUGCAUCGGUUGGGAUUGAGGAACUCAGCGCACCGCAAGGCCGGGUUUCAAACCACGUCUGCGCUUAGGAUGCUGGCACAAUGGCUUUAAUCGACCCGU